GGAAGUAAAAUCUAACAAGGUUUCCGUAGGUGAACCUGCGGAAGGAUCAUUAUUGUAUAACCGAGGUGCGAGGGCUGUCGCUGACCCGAAAGGUCGUGCACGCCCGAGUGCCCUCACACACAUCCAUCUCACCCCUAUGUGCACCACCGCGUGGGUCCCCCUUUGGCUUGUUCGGAGGGGGGCUUACGUUUUCACACAAACUUUGUAUGCAGUGUAGAAUGUAUUUUUUGUUUUUGCGAUCACGCAAUCAAUACAACUUUCAACAACGGAUCUCUUGGCUCUC
rnacentral:misc_RNA from 1 species